rnacentral:rRNA from 1 species
AGAUUGAACGCUGGCGGCAGGCCUAACACAUGCAAGUCGAGCGGUAGAGAGGUGCUUGCACCUCUUGAGAGCGGCGGACGGGUGAGUAAUGCCUAGGAAUCUGCCUAGUGGUGGGGGAUAACGUUCGGAAACGGACGCUAAUACCGCAUACGUCCUACGGGAGAAAGCGGGGGACCUUCGGGCCUCGCGCCAUUAGAUGAGCCUAGGUCGGAUUAGCUAGUUGGUGAGGUAAUGGCUCACCAAGGCGACGAUCCGUAACUGGUCUGAGAGGAUGAUCAGUCACACUGGAACUGAGACACGGUCCAGACCUCCGUA